rnacentral:misc_RNA from 1 species
AAGGAUCAUUAACGUGGGGCUUCGGCCCCGCCGAGAUAGAACCCUUGCCUUUUGUAUACCGUCCGUUUCCUCGGCAGGCUCGCCUGUCAAUGGGGACCAUAAUAAACCUUUGUAAUAACCUGUAACUAGUCUGAUCAAAAAAUUAAAUUUAAAACUUUUAACAACGGAUCUCUUGGUUCUG